GUGUAUCUGAAAAAAAAAAAAGUCAAGGCUACCCCUGAACCCAGACAAAGACAACUGGAAACACUUCAUUUUAGGGUGCCCUUAUGUGUGGCCAGAGGCUGAAAAGUUUAGAAUUACAUCUCCCAGACGUCUUUGCGGUUAUGGCUAUGCAAGUCACCGAUACAGAAGGGUGAGGUACACAAAAGUCGUUAGCCACCUUCUUGGCUUAUUUGAUCAAACUUUGUGCCGGUUGUCCUUGUGCUCCUGGCUCCUCUAGCCUCUGGUGCAAUCGUCUUCACACAGACCUCUCUUCUGUGCCCCCUCCCCUGCCCUUCUAUGGUUGCCUUUGAAUCUUGUAGAGAAGAGGAUGAAGACAGCACUAGACUGCCUAUCGAGUACCCACAAGGUGCUGGCUUGAUCCCCCAGCAUCCCACAGACUGGACUCAGAGGCAUGUGUCUGCUGUUCUAAAACUCUGGAGUCAGAUGUCAGGCUACUUAAUGAAUUUGAGGGCAGCCUGGGGCUAUGUGAGAUUCUGUCUCAAACAAACAACAAAAUAAUGACAGGAAAUUCAUGCCGAAGAGGAGUGAGGUAGAAGAGGAGUCCUGGGCUGGAAGUUAUUGAGGGAACACUGGGCUGAAAAAAAUCUGUUCUCACAGAUUCCCAGCUGGUAGCUAUCUUCAUGCCAAACUGGAGAAUUCCCCUUUUCUUCAGUUCCUUCCACGGUAACUUUCCGCUCCACGGUCUGGGAAGAUAUUUUUUUUUCAACCUCCCCCAACACCUCAGCCUUGAAAUCCAAGUUUAGCCAAGCACCGCCUCUCCAGCUCAUCAGUGUGCCAGCCCCAUGUCCCAAACUUCCUGUGUCCAUGUGUGUGGUUGAAUUGAGCCAUGGUGACAUUAGUCAUGUUUACUGUUGACUGAGAACAAGGAUACUUGGUAUCCAAGGCCUGACUGUGGCCUCUGACUGCACAGUCGCUCACUAACUCUAAGAGAGUAUGAAAAGGACUCAAAUAGACACUGUGUACAGAAGAAGUUGGAGGAUGAGGGACUCUUCUUCGGUGGGGUAAAACGGCUUGUCUCCUUUUGUUUUGUCAUUGGGUUUUGACAUUUAGCCUAAGGCAGCCUCAAACUCACUGUGCAGCCCAGGCUGACCCUGAACUCAUAAUCUUCCUACCUCAGUCUCCCAAGUGCUAAGUGUUAUUAUCAGACUCUGCCCUUUAAAACAACAAUGUCAAGCCUGGGGAGUUGGCUCAGGGGGUUAGAAUGCCUGAUAUGUAAGCAAGCCAAGGCUUCAAGUUCUAGCUACAAAAUCAUGUGAAAAACUAGGCAUGGCCACACAGGCAGCUACAGCCCAGGGCCCUGAGAGGCUGAGGCAGGCCUGGGCUACGUGAGGCAGGGGAUUACCAGAGACUGCUGGCUACCAGUCUAUCUGAAAUAGCACGUUCCAGGUUAAGUGACAGAUUCUUUUUCAAAGUAGGAGCAAGCCAGUGGCAGGGGAAGGCCUGAUAUCCUCCUCUGGCCUCUGUAUGUGGUCAUAUACUGGUGAGCACAGACACAAAUACCCUCACAUACCCACACGUGAAGUAGCUCAAAUGGUAGAGUACUCUUUGACUAGCAUGCACAAAGCCCCUGCACUGAAAAAAAAAUGGGAGUGGUGGCACGUGCCUGUAAUCGCAACAUGCUGCAGAUGGACAAAGGAGGACCCAAAAUGCAAGGUCAUCCUGGGCUAAGUACCUAAUUCGAGGCCAGCCUAGGCUACUUGAUACAAAACAAAAAGUUUUAUGAAGAUACAAUUCACAUUUCAUACAGACUGCACAUUUAAAAUGGACAGUUAUCUUAGCCACAGAAUUGUGGAACCAGGAACAGAAUUUGAUUCCAGACAUUUUUUUCUUUUCUUGUUCUUUCUUUUCUCUUCUCUUCUCUUUUCCUUACUCUUUCUUUGUCUCUCUCUGUCUCUAUCUCUGUCUCUGGAGACGGGGUUUCUCCGACAGCUCUGGCUGUCUUGAAACUCAGGUUGGCCUCAGACUUAAAGAUCCACCUGCCUCUGCCUCCCAAGUGCUGCUAUUAAGGCAUGAGCCACCACUGCCAGGCGACAUUUUACUUUCUUAAUAAAAUGGUUUAGAUUUAUUUGUUUUAUUUUAAUAAGCAUAUGAGUAUUUUUCCUCCAUGUACGUUUGUACACCACAUGUAUACCUGGUGCCCAGGGAAGUCAGAAGAGGGCAUUGGAUUCACCAGAAGUGGAGUUACAGAGGGCUGUGAACCAUGUGGGUUCUGGAAACUGAACCUGGGUUCUCUGUAAGAGCAACAGCUGCCCUUAACCAUCAGACCAUCUCACCAUGUCGUUUUCUAUAAACAGGACCACACAGUAUCCGAUUUCAUCAGAUUAUUUUUUAUAAAGGCAAAAUAUCUUAUUAAACCGAGAAAAUCAGAUGACGCUGAGGACACCAGGUAAAUUUGACUUAGAGCUAUUUGUCCUAAGAGGACUUGAGUGGGCAAGGCAUUUAUUUGCAUAUGAAGAUCCCUUGAACAUUCAGUGUGACAGCCAGGGUGUCAAGUGUCCUACAGGCAAACUGUAUCCUUUAAAGUGUGGUUUUUGAAGGAAACGAGUUCUGUAACUAGUUGCACGAUUCUCUCAAGGGGGUUGUAUAAAUUAGUUUUCUCACAGUUUACGAAAUGCCUGACAAAGCAAUGGAAGGAAGGAAGGGUUUAUUUUGGCUCAUGGUUUGUGGGACUAUGGUUUAUGCCUUACUUAGGGUUUCUAUUGCUAUGACAAGACACCAUGACCACAGCAACUCUUAGAAAGAAAGACAUUUAAUUGGAUCUGGCUUACAGUUUAGAGGUUUAGUCCAUGUUUGUCAUGGUGGAAAGAGUGGUGACAGGCAGGCAGACAUGGUGCUGGAGAGGUUCCUGAGGUUCUACAUCCGGACUGUCAGACAGCAGGAGAGCAAGUGAUACUGUGCUUGGCUUGAGCAAGUGAAACCCCAAAGCCCCAUUUUUCUCCAAGAAGACUGCACCUACCCUAACAAGGCCAUACCUCCUAACAGUGCCACUCACUAUGGGUCUGUGGAGGCCAUUUUCAUUCAAAUCACCACUGUCCACUAUGGUGAGAAAGGAAGAACAUGCAGCUGGUGCAUGAGAAGAGGACGUGCUGGAGUUCUGCAGAUCCCCCUUUCCCUCUUUUCAUUCAGUCCAGGGAACCCAUCCCACAGGAUGAUACCACACGCAUUUGUUAUGGUUUUCCCCCUCAGUUAAAACUCCCUGGAAACAUCCUCAAAGUUACAUUCAGAGCUGUAUCUCCUAGGCUAUUCCAAAUCUAGUCAAGUUGACAACCAACACCAAUCAUCACAGGGCUUACCUAGUAUGGAGAUGUGGUUUUUCAUGCCCAUGACUUUAUUAAGGGAAGGAUAUAUGGGGUUUAUUAACAGUGUUACUAGCUAUUUAUAUCCGGUGAACAAGCAACAGCGUUAUUAACACUAACUUCUUGGGGAUGACCAACAGCUUUCUAGUGGACUUAGGGACCAAAGCAUUGGGGGGAAGGCACACCUGAUACCAUAAACCUAGCCAAAAGUGUGGCCAGAGGGAUCUUGGAUCCUAAAGGAGAAUCUACUGCUGACAUCUUGGUAAGUUAAUAUAGAUAUCACUGCCUUCUAAAUUCUCAUCCUUUACCUGUAGGCCGCUCUUGUCCUCAUCAAAGAAGCUCCGAUUUGCAGUAGACGGAGCUGUAACAGAGAACUACGGCUGGUCAAAGUCAGGGAAUAUGUGAUCAUGAAAUAUCCAGACGGAAUGGAACAUAUGCAACAGUAUCUCCAACCAAGGCUCAGGGACAUCGAGGAAGAGGGACCGGAAACUCCAGGACCUGGCCUUGAUGGUUCCCACCAUCCCCACUGGGGUUCACAAGCACCUGCAACCCCAGGUGCAGGACAUCUGCCACCUUUUCUGACCUCUGAGGGCUCCUGCAUGCAUGUGGUACACAAAGUAAAUAAACAAGUACAAGAGUUUAAGAAUCCUUUGGCAAGUAUAUGCAGUCAACCAAGGACAUACAUUUGUAACAAGGCUCCCUGGAGACUUAAUAGCAUAGGGAUUACAGGAGGUUGGCUCCUUGGGAAGAACUGCUCAGCUACAUAAAUUUCAACCUGAAGGGAAAGAGUAAUUGAACUUUGCAGGAACCACAGCAGAAGUGAGAGAAGAGAGAGAAAGGCUUGUUCCAAAACAUGAGAGCCACUCUGUGGAACGCUCCAGUGAUAACAGCUCUGGGACAGAAGAACAUGCUGCUCUCCUCUCUGCCCUAAACAUGCAUUCAGUUACUUCACAGCAAGCCCCUCCCCAAAAGACCAGUGUCUUCUCAGCCCUACACUCAGCCAAAGAGAAAGGAUGAAAUUAACUGAUCUAGUAGACAGCAGUUAAGUCCUGGUAAAAGGGGAAAACUAGACUAGAGUGAUAAGCAUAACCACACGCCCGCUCAGGGACACACGUGUCAUUUCUCAAUCACUAAUUAUUGGGGAAAUGCAAAAUACCACCUCACCCCAAUAAAAAUAACUCAUCAAAAGGACAAAAUGAUAGCAAGUAUUGGAGAGGAUAUGAAGAGAAGGAGCCCUUGCACCCACCUUUGGUGGGGACGUAAACAAAUACAAUCCUGGAAAUACUGUGGCAGUCCCUGAGAAAACUAAACCUAGUGUACACAACUGAGAUUUUACCACUCAGGAGCUGGGGGCCGGAGCUUCAUGUGUUCGAGGCCAUCCUGGGCUAUAUAGUGAGUUCAAGCCAUCCUGGGCUACAAAGUGUGUCCCUAUCUCAAAAAAGCCAAAGGGGGCGGGAUGGGGAAAAAGGAAAAUAGAAGUAUAGUUUAACCCGGAAUUCCCAUUUCAGUGGGAGGAAGAAGAAAUAAAAUUGAAAGGAAAUAAAACCAGUCUGUUAAAUAAACGUGUACAUUCCAGGUUCAUUGAGCACUGUUGAUAAAAGCCCAAAAGACAGAGAACGACCUAAAUGUCCAUCAACCAAUGAAAAGCCAAGCACCCAAGAACAAGCAGCUUGUGAUCUCACUCCCACACGGAGUCUGGGAAAGUUGAUGGCUACUGCAUAAAGUGUGCUCAGCGGGGGAGGGGAUUGGCCCAUGGAGCACCGUUUCAUCACUGAGAACUAGUUACAGUUAGGACGAGGCCUCCUGAUGGCUCCUGCUGCUGGCAGAUAAUAAGUUUGCACUGUCUCAGGACACUAGAAGAGAAGACGUGGGUGGUUUUUACCAUGUGAUUGAGAAGAUGGAUGCUUUACCUGAUAGUUAGAGACAUGUUGAAACAUCGCGUGGUGUCUCUUAGUAUAUUCAGUUCUUAUACUUUCUGUUCCAGCUAAAAUAUAUUUAAUCAGUCAGAAAGUGAGCCUCAAUAUAUCUCAGGAUCUUUAUGAACAUGUAAAGUGACUUGCCUUUUCCAGCUCCACGAUAUUCCACCAUGGCUGCCUUCUACAGAUGGACAAUUGUGUUGUUUCCAGUCUCUCGCUACUGCGUAAAGUGUGCUCGUAGCUUUCAAGCACAAAAGAGAAAAUUGAAUUAAACCUCCCAGGAUCGGGUUGGGGAUUUAGCUCAGUGGUAGAGCACUUGCCUAGCAAGUGCAAGGCCCUGGGUUUGGUCCUCAGCUCUGGAAAAAAAAAAAAACAAAAAAACAAAAAACCACCCAGGAUCCUCCGCCCAUCCUUGUUUUAAAGCCGGCCCUUCCUACAGUUCACCAAUUGCUAGAGCAGUGCGGUCUUCUACUUUAUGGUUAUCCUACUUUGCAUAAGAAAUAUGGUGAGAAGAACUCAGCUGUUCUCUUCAGGGAAGACCCAUGGUGUGAGGGUGAGAAAUCGGCGACUUAUAGCUCUCUGUGUCCCUGCUGCCCAGCAAUCCUUUUCCUCUCCUUGCCUUGCUAAGACAACCAAUCAGGAUUAUACAAAUGCCUUGUUUGGUUCAACAUUUCUUCCACCAUUCAAUCCUAAGCGUGAGACCACAUUGGCUUGAGUGCCUCGUCCCCACGGUGGUGUAGGAAGCUUCCUGCUCCACUGACUUCGACAAAUCUUAUAGGAAGAAGUGUGCACUCUGUUCCAGACGCCAUGCUGUGAGCUACAAGCAGUGACUAUGGCACACGGAACUGUCUGUUCUCCUGGCUUUCUGAUAGUGGUGCUGAGACACUGACCUGCUCAGCCAUUUCAGUCAACACACGAACAUCUCUUAGUUACUCCUUUUUUUUUUUUUUUAAGUGAAAGCUUCAUUAUAUAGCCAUCUUCACUCUGCGUCUCUUCAGUUCUUGGAAAGUAAUGAAAAAAAAGUCCAUAAAGUUUAGUACUUUCAGAUAGGGCUUCACUCCCAAAGGCAAACUUGCAACCCCCCUCCCAGCUAUAUAGAAUGUAGAGCCAAAGGAGGUAAUCACCUGAUUCUAAGGGUUAGCAACGACUGGCUAGGUUUAUGUCAACUACAAGCUAGCAUCAUCAGAGAGGAGGGAGCCUCAGUUGAGAAAAUGCCUCCUGAAGAUCUGCCUGUAGGUAACCCUGUAUGCUAUUUUCUUAAUUAAUGAUUGGUGGGGAGGGUUCAAUUCAUUGUGAAUGGUGCCACCCCUGUGGUCCUGGGUUCUAUAAGACAGCAGGCUGAGCAAGUCAUGGUGAGCAAGCAAGUAAGCAGCACCCUUCCAUGGCCUCUGCAUCAGUCCCUGCCUCCGGUUUCCUGCCUUGUUUGUUUUCCUUCCUGACUUACUUCAGUGAACAGCAAUGUGGAAGUGUAAUACAUCCUUUUCUCCCCAAAGGUGGUCAUGGUAUUUCCUCACAGCAGUGGUAACCUUAACCAGGACAGAAAUCAACCUUUCCUUUACACACCUCUCUAAAUCAAUUAUGUCUUAUUCUUUUACAUUUAUUCUGCUUUGAACUCCCAAGCUCUUUUUGUUACCAUAGUCACUAUUCAAUAAAUAUUUACUGGGUUCCAGGCACCAUGCCAAAUCUGUAUAAAAAAAACAUGUAAUUUUCCCUAAUAGAGGGUAAGUACUAUUAUAUAUGUUGUGAGGAGGAGGACAUCUAGACUUAAAGAAGUUUAGUAACAUGCCUGGGUUGAACAUCUAACAAGGGCAGAUACAGUCAGAGAAGUCACAAUGGUGCAGUAGGAAAGUCUCUGGCACGAUUAAUAAACUACAGCUGGAACAAUAACUGAUAAACUUGGUGUUUAUUUUUGUGCUUUAUGCAUGUUGUUAGGAUCUGUAAAGAUUCUCCCUCACCCCUGGCAGAUCUUCCGUGUGGAAGAACUUCUGCCGCAGGAUUUCUGACUGAUUCCAGGAAGAGAGGUGGAAGUGUUGCUGGUGGCUGAAGAGAAUCUGGGCUGGAAGAGGAGCAAUUUCUCUCUCUCUCUCUCUCUCUCUCUCUCAUAUGUCUUCUUUUAUUAGAUUUUUUUUAUUUACAUUUUAAAUGUUAUUCCCUUUCCCGCCUCCCCCGCCCCAGAAACCUGCUAUCCCAUCCCUCCUCCCCCUGCUUCUAUGAGGGUGUUCCCUCACCCACCUACUCCAUCCCACCUCCCCACCCAGACAAUCCCCUACCCUGGGGCAUUGAGCUUUGACAGGACCAAGGGCCUCUUCUCCCAUUGAUGUCCGUCGAGGCCAUCCUCUGCUACAUAUGCAGCUGGAGCCAUAGGUCCAUCCCUGUAUUCUCUUGGGAUGGUAAUUUAGUCCCUGGGAGCUUUGGGGUGGGGGUGGGGGUCCGGUUGGUUGAUGUUGUUCUUCUUAUGGGAUUGCAAACCCUUCAGUUCCUUCAGUCCUUUCUCUAAUGAGGAGCGACUUCUUAAUGGUGAUUUGAGGUGAGAACUGGGAGCAUGCAUUUCAGACUCUCUUCAUCAGGUCAGCCAGACUCCUCUCCCCUGGCGUACAGAGUGAAUUCCUGGGGGUGGGGGAGGAGGAGUAGGAAGAGAGGAAGGGAGGAAGGGGGAGAGAAAGCUGAAGCGCACAAAGUCCCCCAGCCUGGGAAACAAAACAAACAACUAAGAAAUUAUAUGAGAGGUCUGUAGUCCCAAGUGUCCCUGUGUUCUGAAGGGAGGAGGUGGGGGCCAUCGAGGGGGCAGAGGAAGAUUUGGUAUACAUGAGUGAAAUCUGAGAAAGACGAAGUGCACAAGAACAAUUUAACAAGGAGGAAACAGACGGAGUGUUCCAUAGCAAAAUGAAAUCAGAAGAAGAGAAACCUGAGAAACAGGAGAAGCUUGUGCUGGUGAAGGUACAGGAGACUCACAGGUUGGUACUUAACCAGUGAUGGAGAUGCUGGCACAGGCCGGCUCAGGUCCAGCGCCUAGUGCGACCAGAUGAAAUCACUCUCUGACAAUACUGCUUGCGGUGAUACUGGAUAAAGGAUCCCGAGCUAGGCUGAGAGGUUUGGAACCCCAAUUUGUCAAAGUGAAGUUGCUGUCUGUCACCAGCAUUGGGAUUUAUCUGUCUUCUGCCUCGUUUCACAGCUACGGGGCAGUUCUUUGGAAGCGGGGAGGCUCCUCUUAAAACAGGAGCGCGAAGGUACGUGAGGUAGCAGAAGGUUGAGAUUCCUUGGGUAGAGCUGAAUUAAAAGGGGCCGAAUGGUGCUGCUAAGUAUCUUCUCAUCCCUAGAAGGACUUUCCUUAUCACUAACAAUACUUGGCAAUUACUGUGAGUUGUCGAAAAUAAGCUGAGAUACGGUGACUUUGAGUCACAGAAGGCUGAGUACCUGAGUGUGCCAGUCUCUGUAGCCUUCUCAUCCCGUUUGGAAUCCUGUAACAUGAGCUAGCUUAUUCCAGCAGUUAUGGUGCUGGGUGGUAGACAGUCUUGUCAGCCAGCUGUGCACACACCGGUAAAUACUGUUUCUUAGGCAAAGGUAAUAUUUUCUAUAGUUGUAAAAUCCCAUUAUACUCUGUUGGCAAAGAAACAUUAAGAACUUUGUAUAGCUUUUAAAAAAGCAACUUUUUUUUUAGAGAAUAACUUUUAAGUUUAAAAGAAAGGGGUGUGUGUGUGUGUGUGUGUGUGUCUGUCCAGGCUGUCUGAUCUUGGCAGUUCUUUCCUGCCCAAGCAUUCUAACUGCGAGUCAGUGAUGACUAGGCCUUGACAGCGUCCUCUUGGCUUCCUCUGCGUCAUCGUAGAAGCCAUUCUAAUGCCGGCUUUUCCCCUGGUGGAGCUAGGCCGGGUCUCUAGGGGACACAGCCAUUUGAAACUCCCUGCGGUUUGAAUGGGCUGGCCCAGCUGGCAGAGGCCAGCAGCUGUGUUGCCUUUGGUUGCAUGGCAACACAGCACCCCACCCAUCUUCUGUUCUCUGAGCAGAGGCUCAACGCUACACUGCAGGAGCUCUGUCUGCCCUUGCUGUCUCACAAGGACCGGAAGAGGAUGAAACACCAGUCAGUGCCGGGGGAGUUGCGACGGAAAAAAUUUUUUCCAUCUUGGUCAAGUCGCCAUCGGGAAAUCAUUCAGACUCAAUAUUGAGACUGAUACAGGGCGGUGAGUGGUGUUUCUCGAGCAGGCUUUUCUGCUUGCCGAGCAAUGCCCGCCCUUUGAGAACAAUCAGCAUCAUUUAACCUGGCAGGGUUGACAGAGCUUGGGGCAGGCCUUUGAUAAGUCUCAUCUGCUUCUGAAACUCGGUGGUUUCAUACAGGAACACUGCAAAAAGAGACUAGAAACAGGAAGUGAAAAAAAAACCCAUUUCUAACUAAUGGAAACUACCUUUUGCUCACCUGCACCUGCAUUCCUGCUAAACAUCAUUUAAAUUAGUGCAGAGGUCUACCCUUCUAGGUACUAUCCCCAGAUGGUAUGUAAUCUACAGGGGCUUUGCCACUGAUCUCGCAUUGCCUGUCGCCAUAACAAAAUCUCUUAGUCUCCUUCACGUUCCUCAGAAAAGAAACAGCUUGCUCAUGGUGGGGAGGAAUUAAAUUUGGAGUCAGGGCAUAGUUCUCUCUCUCUCUCUCUCUCUCUCUCUCUCUCUCUCUCUCUCUCUCUCUCUCUCUCUCUCUCUUUCUUUUUUUAUGACAGGGGUCCCCAUUACCUAGCCUGGAACUCAGCCACGCAGCUGAGGAUGACCCUGAACUUGUGUGUUCCUCCUGUCUUCCCUUCCUAAGUGCUGAGAUCACAAAGGUGUGUCCUUGUGCCACCAUGCCCGGCUCAGAAGUUCUUUCAGUGUAAUUUUUGAAUAGCUCCUGAAUAGUAAGGAACAGAGAAGGAGCUGUCUUUGGUCAACGAGAGAACAGAGACGAGAGGAGUAAGAUGAGGACAGCUGGAAGGUGUACGUCAGAGUGCGUCAGAGGGAGCAGCCGGCCAGCCAGGCUCAGAACUCCCUUUCCCUCCAGUCCUUGGCUUCACAGACCUGGCCACCAUUAGCAUAAACUUUCUCACUAAGGUGGGGGAGGGUGGCUGAGGCUCUUGAUGGCACUGUGCCCAGAAUAGAAAAUGUGGUUGUUGGCAACUAUAUCAAAGGCCACGUCUCUGCUCCUUUAGAAACCUUUCCACCUCUGAUUAUCAGACCCCAGAACCAGCACGCCCACGGCCCACGGAAACUUUGGAACAAUAGGCCUUGCCCUGCCUGUCGUGUGUGUGUGUGUGUGUGUGUGUGUGUGUGUGUGUGUGUGUGUGUGUGUGUGAUUUAUUUAUUUAUUUAUUUAUUUAUUUAUUUAUUUAUUUAUUUAUUUAUUUUCUAAAGACAGGAUCUGACUGUUCUUUUAACAUAUGUGAGUUCAAAUCCCAGCACCCACAUGAUGGCUAAAGGGCAUCUGUAACUCCAGUUUGAGGGGAUCUGACACCCUCUUCUGGCCUCCUCUGCUAAUGGACAAAUGUGGCUCAGACAUAAGAGCUUGCAAAAACACUCACCCACAUAAAACAAAAAUAAAUAAGUCUUCGGAAAAAUGUUUUUAUUCGUUUAUGUGUAUGAGUGUUUUGCUCACUUGCAUGACUGUGCACCACAUGUAUUGCCAGAUGCCAGGGAAGGUCAGAUGAGGGCAUAGGAGUCCCUGGUACUGAAUUUACAGAUGGCUGUGAGUGCCACCAUGUGGAUGCUGAGAACGGAGCCCACGCCUCUACAGGAGCAGCCAGCACUCUAAAGCCUAAGCGACCUCUGCAGGUCUCCACUAUUAGCUGCUUCCAGAAAGUAUCCCAAGCCAGGAGGGUGGUGGACAUGCGUAGUCUCAGCUACCAGGGAGGCUGGAACAGGAGAGAGGCUCAGGGUAAGGAGUUUGGGUUGAUGUGGGGACUACAGCAAGACUCUGCACAAAACGAUGCAAAUGAAUUAUCUCUUGGUUCUGGAGGCUGAGUCUGAAAAUCAAAGUUCCAGCAGGGUUGAAGGAAAACAUGCUUCAGGGUUCUCUUCUAGUUUAUGUACUCCUUGGAAUAUAGAUGGCUAUGUGUGUGCGUUCAUAUCUUUCCCACAAAUGUAUAUCCUUAUGUUGAAGGGUCCCCCUCCUAUGAGAUCUGUAGACAAAUUGAAUUGGCAUCGCUUAUCUUGGUAAAAACACUAUUUUCAAAUGUUGUCUAGGGAGCUAGUGUUUCAACAAAUGUACAACCCAUGAAAGCAGCCUAAACACAGGUACGUAGCCUUCUCUCAUUCCUAGGAGUCUGGGUUGUAGGUGGACCCCCCCCCACCCCCCGUGAUGCCUCAAGUGCAGAGGGCUGGAGCUUGCAGGGAAAUUGUGGGGCAAUACCCAACAGGGCCAGUAGUAACAGAAUUUCCUGGGCUACAAGCAGAAUAGUGGCCACUAAAAUCCAGACUCAGUUCUUUAAGAACUGGAAUUCAGCAGGUGAGAGAAGACUUUAACUAGGCAUUAGAACACACACGGCAGUGAUAUGUAUAAUAUAUAUAUACAUAUAUAUUAUAUAUUAUAUAUUAUAUCUAUAUAAGAGAGAGACUUAAGUUAUAUGCAAGAGUGCUUUCUCGUAGGGACAUUUGUGGAGAUUUGCUCUGAGCGGUUCUUCUGAGGGGAUGGGAAAGGCUGAAAGCCAAGGAGGUCACCCAGAGAAGCCUGGACCUCUUGCGUGUUUAGGAGAUGGGUAGAAGCAGCUAGGGUGAGAAACAACUGGGAGUGCAGGAAAAAGGCUGAUUGUGACAAAACUUAAAAAAUAGGUAAUGUGGGCUGAAGAGAUGGCUCAGUAGUUAAGAGCACUGACUGCUCUUCCAGAGGAAGAUUCCCAGCAGCUACAUGGUGGCUCACAACCAUCUAUAAUGGGAAUCUAAUGCCCUCUUCUGGUGUGUCUGAAGACAGCUACAGUGUAGUCAUAUACAUACAUACAUACAUAAUUAAUUAAUUAAUUAAAAAUUUAAAAUGUUAUUUAUGUAUGUGUGAGUGUGUGUUCACAUGUAUGUGAAUGCAAGUAUGUGCACUUGUGUAGGUCAGAGGACAGUAUUUUGGGAGUCAGUUCUCUUUUUCCACGUUUCUUUUAAACUUAAUAUAUUUAGAUUUUUUUUGAGAUGAAAGUAUAAUUAUAUCAUUUCCUCUCCCCUUUCUCCCUCCCAACACCCCCAUGUCAUGUGUACCCCCCGUCUCUUUCACAUCCAUGGCCUUUUCCUUAAUUGUUGCCCUACAUACAUAAAUACGACCUGCUCAGUCUGUGCGACAUCACUUUCAGGACUGGCCACUUGGUAUUGGAUGACCCACUGCUGUGCUCGUCCUUAGGGACCUGUAUUCCUUCUACUCUCAGGAUUCCUAAUUUGUCUACAGUUCUUUGUUUAGGGUUGAGGCUCUUGUCAGAUUUUCCCCUUCCGUGUUAGCUGGCUGUUGGUGUGCUUAUUCAAGUCUUGCUUGGGAAGCCAUAUUGAAACCACAAGGGUGUAGCUUCCCUGACGUUUCUAGGAGAUCCGGUCUCACAGCCGACUUCCUGUUCUUCUGGUUUUCACAUUCUUUCUGUCUCCUCUUCCAAGAAGUUCCCUGAGCCUUACGUGCAGGAGUUGUUUCGUAGAUGUAUGGGUUGGGUCUGGGCACCACACAGUGGUGACUUUUGAUCAGUUGUGUUUUUCUGUAAUGGUCUCUGUCACAUAGAGAAGAGGGUCAGAGCUAUACUUGUCUGGGUGUUGGGUAAGUAAAGGAUAUGAAGUAUAAGGAUAUAAGAUAUAAAGAUAAAUAUUUAGAGUGCAGUUAGGGGUCAUGCUGUCUUAGUAAAGUAGCAGUUGCAGGUUGUCCUUCAUGACCUUACUAACCUGGGGUAGUUAACUAGGUUACUAGUACCAGGCAUGCUUUCUCUCGUCGAACAGGUCUUAAGUCUAGUUAGAGAGCUAUUGGGCUACCUUCAGGAUAUUCUGCCACUGGUGCGCCCAUAGGGCUAUUGUAUGGUUCUUCUGGUCAUCGUUGUUGUUCUCGGACAUCAUAGCUGGGUAGGACUGCUGCUUGCUUUCCUCCCUUGGAAGCUUGCACAGCAUUUUUUGUUACCAUGGAAGCUAGGCCUCAGGGAGGAGGCUUUCAGGUCAGAUCCAGCUCAGGGCCUCCUAGAUCCUGUGUCUGAAGUCAUCGUGCUUUCAGCUCUAUGCUUGUAUGGCUUCCAACCUCUGAGAAGCAACCCAGAGUGACAACGAGUUUACUCUGGGAGUCUCAGGCACCCUACCCGGCAGCUAAAAAUGGGCUUCUUGUGCCUGGAGUUGGAGUUUGUUAGGUAAUAUAUGACUCUUGGGGAAAGCACUGUCAGUCCAGGUGUGGAAUUUUUAAACUGUGUGUGUGUACAAUAUUUAAUUCAAGUAGAUAGAUAAUAACAACUGCUGUGACUUUUUUAUAUGUUCCAUCUAUUUACCUACACAUUUCAUAGUUUCAUUUUUAUAACAGCUGACUAGUAUUCCAUAGUGUACACGUGCCACAUCCCACUACCAUUUAUCAGUUGACAGAUGCUCGGGUUGUUCCCACUCCUUAACUAUUGUGGAAAGAGAGCAGUUACUUUUCUUCUCUGCGAAGAAUGACAUGGGAGUUUUGACUGGGAUUGCAUUGAAUCUGUAAACGGCUCUUGGCAGAAUGGUCAUUUUCACAGUUUACAACUACACAUGUCUUCCCAUCUUUUAGAUUCUCUCUGUAUCUCUCUGUUCAGAGAUGUAAAAGUUUUAUUCUAGAGGUCCUUCACUUUCUCGGUUAGGUUUACUCCUACAUAUUUCAUUUAGGCUAUUGUGAAUAGGAGUGUGUCCAUCUCUCUCUCUCUCUCUCUCUUUCUCUCUCUCUCUCUCUCUCUCUCUCUCUCUCUCUCUCUCUCUCUCUCUCUCUCUCUGUGUGUGUUGUUGUUGUUGUUGUAUGAAAAAGUUAGUGUGGCUGAAGAAAAGGCCCAAUGGUUAGAGCACUGGCUGCUCUUCCAGAGGUCCUGAGUUCAAUUCCCAUCAUGACCAUCUAUAAAGGGAUCUGAUGCCCUCUUCUGUCAUGCAGGUGUACAUGCAGCAGAGCACUCAUGCAUAAAAUAAAUAACAUAAUCAAUAAAUAAAAAAAGUAAAAACAAAAUUUUAAAAAGCUAUUGGUUUUCGUUAGCUGGUUCUGUUUCCUGUCACUUUGCUGAAGUUAUUGAUCAUUCCUAUAAGAUCUCUGGUACAGUUUGGGUCUCUUCUGUUUAAUAUCCUCUACAAGCAGGGAUAGUUUGGCUUCUUUUCCUAUUUGUUUCCUUUCAACUUCCUUCUCUUUCUUUGGUUGCUGCGGCUGGCACUUGGAGCAGAGUGUUGAAAGGAGGAUAGAGCUCAAUCAGCCCUGUCUCCGUCCUGAUUUCAGUGGGAUUGUUUCAAGUUUUCCUCUGUUUAGGAUGAUAGAGGCUACAGGUUUCUCAGAUACAUCUGUUAUAAUACCGAGGUAUGUUCUUGUAUCUCAGAGACAGAACUAACUUGUUGAUGGUGGCUAAUCUUUUGGACGUAUGUCAGUGUUUGACUUGUGAAUACUUUAUUGAGAAUUUUGAGCCUCUGUUGAUCACGGAUCUAUGACUGUACUUUUCCCUCUUGUGUUGUCUUUGCCUGGUUUGGGUACUGGAGCGAUGAUGACUUACAGAAGGAGCUUGGCAAUGCUCUUUUCUGUUUCUUUGUUUCUUCUUCUUUUAAAAAAUAAAUAAGAAUGAUUAGCUGUAGAGCCUUGAAAGUCUGGUGGAAUUAUUCUAUGUGUCUAUUUGGGUCUAGACUUUUUUAGGCACGAGACUUUUUACUACUGUUUCGAUCAUGUUUGUUUUGGGUCUGUUUGAGUUAUAGAUUUCUUCUUGGUUUAAUUUUGGUGGUUUGGAUGAAUCUAGAAAUUUGUCCAUUUCUUUUGCACCUACAGACACAAUCAAAAAGAAGCUGUGUGUGUGGACUGGGAGUGUAGCUCAGUUGGUAGAGAAAAUUUAAUCCACAUUAACACACACACUGGGCAUAGUGGCACACACCUGUAGCAGUCAUGAAGUGAGGCAGGAGGUUCACCAGCUUUCUGUCCUCCACGUCAGAGUAAGUUUGAGGCUAGUCUGAGCUAUACAAGAUCCCGUCUGAAACAAGACAAAACAAAGCAAAACAAAAUAAAAACCAAACUGAGGAAGAGCAGCAGCGGCUGUGCCCUCAGACUCCCUUGACAUUGGCAUGCAAUGUCAGACAGAGCAAUUAGAGUCCUUGUGUUCAGCCUACUUGGCUCAAGUUUUCUUCCUCUGAAAGAUCUGAGGUAUGACUAUGUUUCUUUAUAUAUACUCUUCAUCUCCCAUGUGCAAAGGUCUGGAGUGGGCUUGCACUAGCAUGUGUGGUAUAUGUGCACUUGUACAUAUGUAUGUGUGCAUGUUUGGUAUAUGUGCACCUGUAAAUAUGUAUGGUGCAUGUGUGGUGUAUGUGCACUUGUAUAUAUGUAUGUGUGCACGUGUGGUGUAUGUGCACUUGUACAUAUGUUCAUCUUAUCAUUUCUUCUUUACCCUUGUCUUACCCUCUCAUUGCAGAGGUGUUUCAACUCCCUCAUAGCUAGUUCCAGGGCCCCUACUCUAAUCUGGCAGGGAAUUCCAGUGUGUGUGUGUGUGUGUGUGUGUGUGUGUGUGUGUGUGUGUGUUGUGCCUGUGUGGACAGUGUAACAAGGAAACUGAGCUCCACUGUACAAGACUGCAUGCUGCAAAUACACUCCAGACGGAGCCAGCUGUUUUGCCUUGGCUGUGGUCUGCUUCCUUCCAGAGGUAAGAGGAGGAAGAGCUAGUAAGAUAAGACACAGCCCUGUGACAUAUUUAUGGAUGGAACACACACAAUGAAGCAACUGAAAGUCCUCCAGGUUGAGCCUAGAAAAACUUACAUAGCAACGCAGAACGGCCCAUGUGGACUGAGUCUGUAGGUUGGUGGGUGGGAUGAAGGGUUAAGGACUUUUAAAUAGGCUGGGAUAUUCCCUCCUCUAGCUCCUGCUUGAUACUCCAAAGGGAAUUUCAGUUUUCUCACAAGCACAAAGAUGGGGAACUGAUUUAAACUAUUAUCUUUUAUGCAUACAAUGAAAUACACCUUAGCCACUUAGAAUGAUUCAGGGAAGUACAUUUCUUGAUAAAGAAAAAGAUGUUUCUGCUCUAUUGUUGAAAAUAUCUGGCUUUUUGUUCAUAAAAAAAGUGUGCAUGCUAAAUGCUGAAAGUAAUUUUAUGCCUGUGUUGCAUAUAUGUAUUACAUUAUGUAAUCCUAUUAUAAUAUAUAUUAUGUAUAUGUAUUAGAGUUAAUGUGACUUCUGAUUUUUUAAUAAAAAUAAAAAAAUAUUCUAUCUUGUGCCAUCUUAAAAAAAUAAAACCAUGUAACAAAACCACAUAACCCUUAGGGGUAUUUCUCAUAUUUAAUUGGAGAGUGGAAUUAGAUGAAGACUAUUCUUUUUUUUUUUUUCCUGAAGAAUUAUUUUUCUUUAUAUGAAUACACUGCCACUGUCUUCAGACACACCAGAAGAGGGCAUCAGAUCUCAUUACAGAUAUUGUGAGCUACCAAUUGGUUGCUGGGAACUGAACUCAGGACCUCUGGAAGAGAAGUCAGUGACCCUAACCUCUGAGCCAUCUCUCCAGACCAAUGAAGACUAUCCUUGACAGUGAGCCUGGAUUCCUCCACUCCUACCCUCCCUGGAGUACUUUCCAUCUCAAAGCUCCCGUCAGUGGGUCACCCCCAUAGAGCCUCACAGGGAAGGGUGGGGGAGCUGUGCUAAGAACUGCAGUCUUCAUUAGGAAAGGGGCAGGCUGAGUGACUGGUUUUGCAGUUCGAGCUGAAGCAUCCUGGAGGAGGCGGGGCCUGGCCUGCCUUCUUUUUUCACCUUGUCUGUUUUCAAGCCGCCCAUGCUCCUCUCAUGAAUGGGUAUCUUCUGCCUCAGUCCUGUGACUUCGCUUUCCCAGUAUUGUUGUGCUGGGCCAGCAGGACUGGUUUUUAGGACUAUGGAGACUUUAGGUCACAAAGGGGUUAAGCACCAUGGGAAAGACAAAGGCAAAGUUAGAAGGUCACCAGAACCAAACAAAAAUAAAUAAAAAUUAAGAGAUUAGGGCAAGGGUCAAAAGACAUGGCCUUGCUGAAUGUCUACAUUCUGAACUGGGGGUCAGACAGGUGCCUGGCAAAUUUCUGGUUAAAACCUUCAAAGCCUAUGGUGGCAGGGAGAGCCCAGGUGCUCCUCUAAGAGCUCCUGCCUCUGGUUUUGAAAGGUUUGGAAUGUCCAUCAGUUAUAUGACGCAGGGGACUCGGGGAAGGAAGGGUUUCUUUUGGUUUGUAGUUCUAGAGUGCAGUCUGUCAUAUGAAAAAAGUGUGGCAGCCAGGACAGGUCCAUCUGUGGCAACAGGAGCACAAGGUGACCGGUCACGUGUGCAGUCAAGAAACAGGUGAAAGCUGGUUCUCAGGUCACUUUCCCAAGUUCCACCUUUCAUUCGGUCUGUGACAGCAACCCACAGGGUGGUGUCGUCCACAGCAGGGUAUGUUUUUCCUCCUUCUUUAGUCUUCACUAGAAACCCCUUCAUAAACACAGAUGUGUGAUCUUCAAUCCAGUCAAGAUAAUAGUGAAGAUUCACCUCGGAAGUGAUUUAGCCGCCUACGCAGCCCUGACCUCCAAGGCGUUCUGGAGCGCCAGAAGACUCUGGAACCCGUGUGCAGCUGUUUAGUAGCUGUACUGCUUGGUCUUGGUAAGUUCCGUGUCUUCAAGUGGUAGUAGUUGACCCAGAAUUAAAGAGGAGCUCUGAGAACCCCCAGACACCCCAGGACCCUGGGUGGCCUCCUCUUCUAAAGACAAAGGACUUUAUGGGCUAGGGAUGAGACUGGAAAGUGCCGAGCUGCGAUUCAGAACUCUGCCCUUCCAUUGCCCUGUGGCUCUGAGCUAGUUAAUCUCUCUGAGCCCCGGUUUCUUCCUACAUAGAAGGAAAUAUUUACAGUAUUGUUUGGCACGGCUGUGAGGCAAUGCGUCCUAAGGAAUUGAGAGGGCAGUGCUGGGAGCAUGCUAAAUGAGAUUAACUGGAAAAGCUGGUUAGAGCAGACCCAGCGUCCCUCUUUUCAGGUGAAAGGUCAAGGCUGCACAGCAGGUUCCAGAGGACCCAGCAAUUGCUAGAUUGUGAGCCAUUUCUUUCCAGAGAUAGGCUGGGUGAACAGAGAGGUGCCAUUUAGAAGAUCUGAUGUUGUUUAAGUAUUUCAAUAAUUGAAUAUGGGUUCACUCUACCUGAAUAACGAUUACAAUUUAAAUAUCAGUAAAUGGUCAUUAUGAAUUAAUGUAGGUGAAGUUGCCCAGAAACUAGAUUUCCAUCUCAAAGCUUCUGUCAGUGGAUCACCCCCACAGAGUCAAGAGCUUGGGGCGGUGGAGUGGGGGAGGGGUAUGAUAAAAUUAUUUUUUUAUUUUUAUGUCUUAUUUUUAAUUCUUUAUUUUUAUUUCAUGUGCAUUGGUAUUUUGCCUGCAUUUAUGCCUGAGUGUGAAGGUGUCAAAUCUUGGAGUUACAGACAGUUGAGAGUCACCAUGUGGUUGCUGGGAACUGAACUCAGGACCUCUGGAAGAGCAGUCGGUGCUCUUAACUGCUGAGCCAUCUCCUAGCCCGAUUCUUUUUUUUUUUAUUCUUUUUAAAUUAAAGUUUAUUUUUUGUUUGUA